rnacentral:rRNA from 1 species
GACGAACGCUGGCGGCGUGCUUAACACAUGCAAGUCGAACGGUGAACCUCUUCGGAGGGGAUCAGUGGCGAACGGGUGAGUAACACGUGGGCAACCUGCCCCCGGCUCUGGGAUAACUCCAAGAAAUUGGGGCUAAUACCGGAUGUUCACCGCUUCCCGCAUGGGCGGUGGUGGAAGGGGUUUCCGGCUGGGGAUGGGCCCGCGGCCUAUCAGCUUGUUGGUGGGGUAGUGGCCUACCAAGGCGACGACGGGUAGCCGGCCUGAGAGGGUGACCGGCCACGCGGGGACGCGGACACGGCCCAGCCGCCGGCGGGGGGGGGGAGGGUGGAAUGUUGGGCGGGGGGGGGGGGCCUGGCGGAGGGACGCGGGGGGGGGGAUGGCGGCGUUCGGGUUGUAAACCUCGGGGAGCAGGGAGGAAGCGCAAGGGACGGUACGAGAAGAAGAAGCACCGCCAAACGACGUGCCAGCAGCCGGGUAAUAAUAGAGGAGCACAGGUCUGAAC